UGAUAGCGUAGAAACGUGAGGUUGCUGUGUCAAAUGAUACAGGUUUUCCGUGGAGCGAAUGUCAUGUUAUGAAACUGGCGACAA
rfam:Clostridium phytofermentans ISDg, complete genome.